rnacentral:sRNA from 1 species
UGUUUUAAUUAAAUGUUUGAAACUUUCAGGGGCAAUAACUGCACGAAAGGGACUUUGGACCCUUUCGGUAUGAAUAAAUUAAAGGAGCAUCUAAGUGUACUGAAUACAUUAGUAAAAGUUUCAAGUCUCUAUCUCUAACGGUUAAUGAGGAGUAGCGAUAAGAAGCAUUUUGUACAAUAGGGGCAAUAACUCUAUAAUUGUUAUAUGGAAAGGGUCAAUGGGUUACAUUUUGAAAUGUCUUAAGAUGUCCUAAUACAUCCAUGAAAAAGUUUUUCUCUACCACCCUUAAUAAAAGAGAUCUAAAAACUCAUUAAUUAACAGAUUUCCAAAUGACCUUGACCUUUGACCUUUAUGUCAUUUUGUUUGGCAAAGGUAGACGCUUCCAUCCCAAGUGGUCCGAAGUCUCUAUGAUUAAUAAUAAAAAAGUUGAAAGUGAUUUUAUGGAAAUUCAAAUACUUUCAGGGGCAAUAACUGAUAGAACGGGGUCUCGGAUCCUUUCGGUAUUAGUAGAUUGAAGAACCCUCUAAGUGUACUGAAGACAUUGGUAAAAGUUUCAGGUCUCUAUCUCGUAUGGUUUCAGAGGAGUAGCGAUAACAAGCUUUUUCGUAAACAAGGGCAAUAACUUUGUAAGUUCUGGGGGUUAUCAGGAACAGGGUCAUUUGGUACCAUAACUUUUAAUGACCAAUAACAUAAAGAAAAAAUUCUUUCAAUAUCUCUUGAAAUAAAAAAGCUGUCCUUGGAAAAAAAGAGAAGAAAAAAACUAGUAGACUAAUUGUUCUCGAACAAUUAGAGGUCUUUCCACCUCAUUGUUUUUUAUGUUUGAAAUAAGAUUGCUUCAAUAGAAUAAAAUAUUUUUUCUGCGUUACUUCAUAAAAAAAAGUGUCAAACGAUUACGUUUGCGAUUUUUUAUUGCUUGACCUUGACCUUUGAUCUUUAUGUCAUUUUCAUCUGACAAGGUAGACGCUUCAAUACCAAGUGGUCAAAUGUAUCUAUGAAUAUUGAUUCAAAAUUUGUUUGUGUUUUAAUUAAAUGUUUGAAACUUUCAGGGGCAAUAACUGCUAGAAAGGGACUUUGGACCCUUUCGGUACGAAUAAAUGAAAGGAGCGUCUAAGUGUACUGAAUACAUUAGUAAACGUUUCAAGUCUCUAUCUCUAACGGUUAAUGAGGAGUAGCGAUAACAAGCAUUUUGUACAAUAGGGGCAAUAACUCUAUAAUUCUUACAGUGUAAGGAUCAAUGGGUUACAUUUUGAAAUGUCUUAUAAUGUCCUUUUAAAUACAUGAACAAGUUUUUCUCUGCCACCCUAAACAAAAGAGAUCUAAAAACUCAUUAAUUUAGAGAUUUCCAAAUGACCUUGACCUUUGACCUUUAUGUUAUUUUGUUCGGCCAAGGUAGACGCUUCCAUCCCAAGUAGUCCGAAGUCUCUAUGAUAAGUAAUAAAAAAGUUGGAAGUGAUUUUAUGGAAAUGUAAAUACUUUUAGGGGUAAUAACUACUAGAAGGGGGCCUCAGAUCCUUUCGGUAUGAAUAGAUUGAAGAACCCUCUAAGUGUACUGAAGACAUUGGUAAAAGUUCCAAGUCUCUAUCUCUUAUGGUUUCAGAGGAGUAGCGAUAACAAGCUUUUCGUACAAAAGGGCAAUAACUUUGUAAGUUCUGGGAGUUAUCAAGCAAAGGGUCAUUUGGUACCAUAACUUUUAAUGGCCAAUAGCUUAAAGAAAAAAUUAUUUCAAUAUCUCUUGAAAUAAAAAAGCUGUCCCUGGAAAAAAAGAGAAGAAAAAUAAUAAUAAUAAUAAAAAACAUAAGAAAUACAAAAGGUCUUUCACCUGAAAGGUGGAAAGACCUAAAUAAUAAACUAGUAGACUAAUUGUUCACGGAACAAUUAGAGGCCUUUCCACCUUCCAUAAUGAUUAAAAAAAAUUCCCGAAAAUGUUGAUAAUUAUUGAGUAAUUAGAGAAAAAUCAAUUUACGCAAAAAAAA